GAGUUUGAUCGUGGCUCAGGACGAACGCUGGCGGCGUGCUUAACACAUGCAAGUCGAACGAGAAUCUACUGAAUGAGUUUUCGGACAAUGGAAGUAGAGGAAAGUGGCGGACGGGUGAGUAACGCGUGAGGAACCUGCCUUGAAGAGGGGGACAACAGUUGGAAACGACUGCUAAUACCGCAUGAUGCAUAAGGGUCGCAUGAUUCUUAUGCCAAAGAUUUAUCGCUUCAAGAUGGCCUCGCGUCUGAUUAGCUAGUUGGCGGGGUAACGGGCCCACCAAGGCGACGAUCAGUAGCCGGACUGAGAGGUUGAACGGCCACAUUGGGACUGAGAUACGGCCCAGACUCCUACGGGAGGCAGCAGUGGGGAAUAUUGGGCAAUGGGCGCAAGCCUGACCCAGCAACGCCGCGUGAAGGAAGAAGGCUUUCGGUAUGUAAACUUCUAUCAGCAGGAAGAAAAU
rnacentral:rRNA from 1 species